AACGAACGCUGGCGGCAUGCCUAACACAUGCAAGUCGAACGAGACCUUCGGGUCUAGUGGCGCACGGGUGCGUAACGCGUGGGAACCUGCCCUUAGGUUCGGAAUAGCUCCCCGAAAGGGGUGCUAAUACCGGAUAAUGUCUUCGGACCAAAGAUUUAUCGCCUUUGGAUGGGCCCGCGUUGGAUUAGCUAGUUGGUAGGGUAAAAGCCUACCAAGGCGACGAUCCAUAGCUGGUCUGAGAGGAUGAUCAGCCACACUGGGACUGAGACACGGCCCAGACUCCUACGGGAGGCAGCAGUGGGGAAUAUUGGACAAUGGGCGAAAGCCUGAUCCAGCAAUGCCGCGUGAGUGAUGAAGGCCUUAGGGUUGUAAAGCUCUUUUACCCGGGAUGAUAAUGACAGUACCGGGAGAAUAAGCACCGGCUAACUCCGUG
rnacentral:rRNA from 1 species